rnacentral:rRNA from 1 species
UGCGUAGGCGGAUUAAUAAGUCCGUGGUGAAAUCUUUCGGCUCAACCGAGAAACUGCCAUUGAUACUGUUAAUCUUGAGUUCGGUUGAGGUAGGCGGAAUGUGUAAUGUAGCGGUGAAAUGCUUAGAUAUUACACAGAACGCCAAUUGCGUAGGCAGCUUACUAGACCGACACUGACGCUGAGGCACGAAAGCGUGGGGAGCGAACAGGAUUAGAUACCCUGGUAGUCC